GUUUCCCUACGGGGCGCAGCAGUGAGGAAUAUUGGUCAAUGGGCUUACGCCUGAACCAGCCACGUCGCGUGAGGGAAGACUGCCCUAUGGGUCGUAAACCUCUUUUGUCAGGGAGCAACGCCGGCUACGUGUAGCCGGACUGAGAGUACCUGAAGAAAAAGCAUCGGCUAACUCCGUGCCAGCAGCCGCGGUAAUACGGAGGAUGCGAGCGUUAUCCGGAUUUAUUGGGUUUAAAGGGUGCGCAGGCGGCCUGUUAAGUCAGCGGUAAAAGCCCGGGGCUCAACCCCGGCGAGCCGUGAAAACUG
rnacentral:rRNA from 1 species